GAUGAACGCUGGCGGCGUGCUUAACACAUGCAAGUCGAACGAAGAAUGUUUUUCGGAAUAUUCUUAGUGGCGGACGGGUGAGUAACGCGUGAACAAUCUGCCCCGUACAAAGGGAUAGCCUCGGGAAACCGGGAUUAAAACCAUAUAACGCUUUAGUACCGCAUGGUAAUAAAGUCAAAUUGAUUAAGAGGUAUGGGAUGAGUUCGCGUCUGAUUAGCUAGUUGGUGAGGUAAGGGCUCACCAAGGCGACGAUCAGUAGCCGGCCUGAGAGGGUGAACGGCCACACUGGAACUGAGACACGGUCCAGACUCCUACGGGAGGCAGCAGUGGGGAAUAUUGCACAAUGGAGGGAACUCUGAUGCAGCGACGCCGCGUGAGUGAAGAAGGUCUUCGGGAUCGUAAAACUCUGUCCUUGGUGAAGAAAAGGACGGUAGCCAAGGAGGAAGCCCCGGCUAACUACGUG
rnacentral:rRNA from 1 species